rnacentral:rRNA from 1 species
AUGGCACAACUCUUUGGCCCCAUGAAGGAGGGCACUACUAUGUCCAGUGUCAUACAUAUCGAAGACAUGGAAGCAAACGUGUUCAGGGCGUUGCUUAGAUUCAUCUAUACAGACUCAUGCCCUGAGAUAGACAACGACUACAUAGAGGAGGAGCAAGAAAUGUCACAAGUUCUGGAAGAAGGAGAAGAAGAUGAAACAACAAAGGAUGAUAUGUGGCUGCAACGGCUUCAAGACUUGUUUGUGGCGGCGGACAGGUAUGAUCUCCAACGACUCAAGUGCAUAUGUGAAAUGCAAUUGUCUGAUAACAUAGGUGUGAGAUCGGUGAUGUCCAUUCUUGCUCUAGCCGAGCAACACCACUGCCAGGGAUUAAAGGAGGCAUGCUUGAAGUUUAUCCAAGUCCAGUCUUCCUCGUGCAUGCAAACAGUAGCAACAACUCAUGGCUGGGAUUAUGUAGUUUCGACCUAUCCCUCGCUUUUGAAGGAGCUCUUCGUCAAGCUUGCU